GAUGAACGCUAGCGGCAGGCUUAACACAUGCAAGUCGAGGGGCAUCACGGGUAGCAAUACCUGGUGGCGACCGGCGGAAGGGUGCGUAACGCGUGAGCAACAUGCCCUAUACAGGGGAAUAAUCCAGGGAAACUUGGUCUAAUGCCCCAUAGCAAUAAGAUAAGGCAUCUUAUUUUAUUUAAAGCUUCGGUGGUAUAGGAUUGGCUCGCGUGACAUUAGCUGGGUGGGGAGGUAACGGCUCACCAUGGCAAUGAUGUCUAGGGGUUCUGAGAGGAAGGCCCCCCACACUGGGACUGAGACACGGCCCAGACUCCUACGGGAGGCAGCAGUGAGGAAUAUUGGACAAUGGAUGGAAAUCUGAUCCAGCCAUGCCGCGUGCAGGAAGACGGCCCUAUGGGUUGUAAACUGCUUUUCUACGGGAGCAAUAAGGUCUACGAGUAGACUGAUGAGAGUACCGUAGGAAUAAGCAUCGGCUAACUCCGUGCCAGCAGCCGCGGUAAUACGGAGGAUGCGAGCGUUAUCCGGAUUUAUUGGGUUUAAAGGGUGCGUAGGCGGCUUUUUAAGUCAGCGGUGAAAUUUUGCAGCUUAACUGUAACAGUGCCGUUGAUACUGAGAGGCUAGGAUUUGGUUGCUGUGGGUGGAAUGUGUGGUGUAGCGGUGAAAUGCUUAGAGAUCACACAGAAUAUCGAUUGCGAAGGCAGCUCACAAAGCCAAGAUUGACGCUGAGGCACGAAAGUGUGGGGAUCAAACA
rnacentral:rRNA from 1 species